rnacentral:misc_RNA from 1 species
UGUGGGAGCUGGCUUGCCUGCGAUGAAGGCAACUCGGUGUGCCUUGGUGCACCGCUAUCGCAGGCAAGCCAGCUCCCACA